UCUGGUGCCGAUGCGCUUAGGGGAGACACCCGUUCCCAUCCCGAACACGAUGGUUAAGACUUAAGCGGCCGAUGGUACUAUGCUGGAGACGGCAUGGGAGAGCAGGUGGGUGCCAGAU
rfam:Clostridium saccharolyticum WM1, complete genome.